rnacentral:misc_RNA from 1 species
UCUCCCUGAUGCGGACGGUCGCCGGCGGGGUGACAAUUGACGCAGCGUGGAUGUGUCAGCACUUUGCCAAGCUCGGUGAAGAUCGCCGCGGACCGCAUAUCCGCGNGCAUACCCGCGUCCGCGAUCGUGGCAAAGCUCUCCGGCGCCGCCAGUUUGUUCGAUGGAUCGCGGGCGACUGCAUAAGUCGCAAGCACACUCAUCAUGAGCGC